GUAGUCUGCAACCCGACUACAUGAAGCUGGAAUCGCUAGUAAUCGCGGAUCAGAAUGCCGCGGUGAAUACGUUCCCGGGUCUUGUACACACCGCCCGUCACACCAUGGGAGUCGGAAAUGCCCGAAGUCUGUGACCCAACCGAAAGGAGGGAGCAGCCGAAGGCAGGUCGGAUGACUGGGGUGAAGUCGUAACAAGGUACC
rnacentral:rRNA from 1 species